UACGAAGGGGGCUAGCGUUGUUCGGAAUCACUGGGCGUAAAGGGCGCGUAGGCGGCUUUGUAAGUCGGGGGUGAAAGCCUGUGGCUCAACCACAGAAUUGCCUUCGAUACUGCAUGGCUUGAGACCGGAAGAGGUAAGUGGAACUGCGAGUGUAGAGGUGAAAUUCGUAGAUAUUCGCAAGAACACCAGUGGCGAAGGCGGCUCACUGGCCCGGUACUGACGCUGAGGAGCGAAAGCGUGGGGAGCGAACAGG
rnacentral:rRNA from 1 species